rnacentral:rRNA from 1 species
GUCUACAGCCAUGCCACCCUGAACAUGCUUGAUCUCAUCUGAUCUUGGAAGCAAAGCAAGAUUGGGCCUGGUUAGUACUUGGAUGGGAAACCACUUAGGAAGAACGGGGUGCUAUAGGUG